ACCUUCAUUGUUUCAUUGGUGCCGAAACCUGGAAGGGGGAAUGCCGCGCUGCUCGAGGGCCCCCUCUCUCAAGGCUUGCCGUCCUGGUCCACUCUUUCGAGCACUGUUUACAAAACCAGAUCUUCAGUAGGGUUGAAUUCGAAAAAAAAGAUCUGCAGAGAGGAGUUGAAAACAGCAGGACUAAUGGUCAUGAGAGAUGUGUCCAUUGCAAAAUCAGAAUACAUUCCAAGUGAGAAAAUUAUCUUGAAGGUCCACAAUUUCCAAGAAAUAAGGAGCUCUUCAGAUACUGCGCUCUCCCAGAGGGUGGAGUUAAUGCCAUGUACCAUGUGAUUUAGGGCUAUGAUCAAGACCAUGGCCGAGUGUACCUUGUGAUGGAGAAGGGAGACACCGUUUUCUAUCACCCUUUGCUCAUCCAUGGAUCUGGUCAGAAUGAAUCUCAAGGAUUCUGGAAAAUAUGCAUCUAGUUUUUAAAGAUGAGUGGGUUCAAAACAGAAAAUCAUAGGUAUAGUAACAUGUAAAGAUUUAUGACUUUUCACUAAACUGGAUUGUUUUUUCCAGUUUACUUGCCAGAAAGUAUAUUUGCCUUCGUUGUGCUUUUUUUUUGCUCUACUCAGUGCGAAGCCGGGUGCCCUCAGGAUCCUUAACCUGUUAAUCAUGAAUCUUGAUCAUUUGUGGAAUUGCUUCAGAGCAGUAGGUCACCUUGCAGUGCACAGCUUCUGCUUUCUGAGGCAUAAACAGUUGCUGAAAUAUUAAAAUAGCACGUUAACUUUGCUAUUUUUCCACAUUCUCAAUGACUAUAAUGUUAUGGAAGAUUAUUUACAAUUAUUUCAUAACAACAUGGAUCAUAAGUGCACAUUUUUUCUUUUUAUUUGAACCUUCAUAUGGCUCUGCCUGGCACUGGAGCCUGUGCAGGAAAUGGAGUUUAAAUUUGGGGCAAAUAGAAAGUCCUUCUGACAGGUGUGAUCACCUUAAGAUAACUAACUUAUGAUAAAGAAGGUGGGUUUUAGGUAUUAUUUUUCAGCUUACAUUUGUUUAGACCUUAUUCUGGAACAGGGAGAACUAAGUCACCUCAGCCUUAUCCUCAGCAGGAAACAAGCUGGGUAAUAAUGUCAAUGUAUUGACCUUUAAAUGUCCCUCUUUAUUGCAGGUGUGGUAUUUUUCUUUUGAAGGUAAUUUCAGUUUUCAUAUCUAUUGCCAUUGCAAUAAUGUCUAUUGCCAUUGCAAUAAUAACCUUUCCCAAAUUUAACAGGGUAACCAACCUUUAUGACUAAGAAGGUGACGAACCAUAGGAUUGUACAUUUCUUUUAAACUUUAAAAUAUACACUCAUUGGAAAAACUUAAAUGCUUAAAACUGUGAAGAUCUGUUACUUAAGUGAUUAUGCCCCCUGUCCUAUAUAUACCUUAAAAAAGUAAAUAUCACAGCUAGUUAAUUUUUUUUUUUUGUAAUUUCUUAAUUAACAUUUAUCUGGGGAGCUGGAGGGAGAGGAUGACCUACAAAGGGACAGAUUUGGGAUGCCAUGGAGGGGCCUGGCAGUUUAUAAAUCAAAUCCUGGUUGGGCACAGGAUUGCAUGCCUGUAAUCCCAGUGCCUAGGAGGCUGAGGCAGGAGGAUCACAAGUUCAAAGGCAGCCUCAGCAAUGGUGAGGCACUAAGCAACUCAGUGAGACCCUGUCUCUAAAUAAAAUACAAAAUAGAGCUGGGUAUGUGGCUCCAUGUUCGAGUGUCCCUGAGUUCAAUCCUUGGUAUCCCUCCCAAAAGAAGUCAAAUCUUGAUUGUAAAAGUUGACACUCUGAAGGGAGAACACCUUGCUUGGUUGUUGGCAUUAAUGGGACGCUUUUCUCCAUUAUCAAUUGUUCACUCUGCACAAGCAAUUUCCUGCCAUUUUGCCAGCUAUGAUUGCCACUACAUCCAUGUGAAGGGCACCAGUCAAGAAAACAUUAAAGAAGAAAUUAUAGAACAAAUUAAUCAAUUCUACAGUGUGGAAAUCAGCAUAGACUAGUAGGUACACUUGCAUGAAAUAACCAAGUAGAGAUGACUGAGGUUUCUUGUCUUCACAUGUUUAAUUAAUCCCUAAUUUAAUUUGAAAUGAAAGACUGGGGGAAUUCUGAAUACAAAGGAGCAAACAUAUAGAUUUGGGACUUCGAUGAAGGAUCACUAGUGCUUAUGGAUGAGGGGCAUUACACAGUGUUUCAUGUGCUUUCUAAUUGAUACACAUCACUUGGAAAGUAUUUGUUUUUUCGUAGUGGAUCAAUGAUGCUGAUGAGUAAUAGACAAAUUAUCAAUCGGGGCAAUUUAAUAAACAUCUUUACUUUUUAUAAAACACACAUUUUAGGCCCUGAAUCAAGAAACUCUUCCUAUUUAUUUUAUUGGUAUGAGAUAAUGAUAAUGCAGGCAUGCCCCUUCCUGCAAGAGACUGAGAGUGAUGAUGACUCUGGGUCAUCCAGGAUGUUGUAAGGGAUGCCACAUAGCCACUGGGAACCUUCAAAAUAGCUUUCCAGAGUGGAGAAUCUUGCUUCUCCCUUUAGAACCUACAAAUGCGUCCCCUGUCUGAAAAUGCUCCAUGUUUGUGGAUUCAACCAACUGAAAUAUUGGAAAAUAUUUAAAUAUUUUAAUAUUUCAAAAAAUUAUAUCUGUACAGAACAUGUACAGGCAUUUUUUUCUUAUUAUUAUUUCCUAAAUAAUACAGCUUAACAAUUACAUAGCAUUUAUAUUGUACCAGGUACUAUAAGUAAUUUAGAGGUGAUUUGAAGCAUCUGGGAGGAGGUACAGAGGUUAUUUUAUUAAAGGGACUUGAGUAUUCAUGGACUUUGGUAUCUAAUGGGGGAUCUUCAACUGUACAUUAGUUUGUGAGGUUGUGCUGAAUAAACACAUUCCAUAUUUAUUUUAAUUACUCUGUAAGUUAGAAUUUAUGGGCACAUUUAGAAUAACAAUAGAAUAAUCAAUAACAAUAGAAUAAUCAAAUAACAAUGCCAAACUAUAUAAUUCUAAGGUAUAAAACAAUUCCAUUUCCCCUUUCUCAUUUUUUUUCACCAGAACCCAGUAGAAUAGUCUGUAUAGCCCCUGCUAUAAAGGAGGAAUUAGAGUCCCAGAGAUUGGUCUAAGUUACAGAGCUACAUUUCAGAGUCAAGCCUAUUCAGAAAUCAUUCUUUCCACCAUACCCUGCUGUUUGAUCAAAAAUAAACAACACAUAAGGUAAUCUAAAUUGUUUUAUUAAUAAUGGUGCAGGGUGUGUUGUGGCCUGUCUGUAAUCAUAGCUUGGCUGAGGCAAGAGGAUUGCAAGUGAGGCCAGCCUCAGCAACUUAGCAAGAAACCGAAAAUACAAAAUAAAAAGGGCUCAGAUGUAGAUUAGUGGAGAGUGCCCCUGGGUUCCAUCUCUAGUAAAAUACCAGGGGGGAAAAAAAAGAUAAAACUAAGUAAACCAGUACCAAAUGGCACCACUUUCACUAGUAUGAUCUUAUCAGAGUUGCACCCUCAAAGUGGUUCAAGCAAGUAAAGAUAAACAGAGAGAAGGACAGUGAACUGUUGUGACUUAGCAUCACCCCCACCCCCCAAAUGUGUUCAGAGACGCUGAUAGUUGGGACUCCAUUGGCUCUGUGCAGGUAGGUCUGUUUUUCAAAUGUUGGCAAGAGAAUUAUUUGGAUUUCAAAACUUGUUUUAUUUACUAAUCAAAAUAAUUAUCAUAGCAUUUUUUCCCUAUUUAACCAUUUGUAGAGGCUAGAAUUCUCUUGUCUUUGUCGGGAAAAGACCACCGUGUUCCAUACACUCAUUCUGUUUGGUAUUGUUUCCAGGAUACUUGUAUUUUUUGAGCUGAACUUGUGAAAUGAGAAAGAAUUAAUCUUUGAAACAGCCCUUAAGUAUAACUAUUUUAAAGGAAAUCAGAAGAAACAAGGAAUCCUAGGAAAAAAAGUUUUCUGACUGGAAUGACAUAAUUUUUCCUAUUAUUUUCAAAAUCGAGAAACAUUGGGCACUUCAUUGUAUGAAGUUAAUUUUGCAGUAUUUGAAAGGAUAUAAAAACAGUAAAAAUGAAAUAUUACUCUUUUUGGAAAACUGAUUUGGGUUUAUAACUAAUAAACAUGGCAUAUGAUUUAA